GACACCUUAACCGUGUCCAAAUGGGGUCUAUUAAUCAUUCUAAACAUCCAUCUUGAAGAUUCAAAGGUCAUGGCAAAAGUUACUAAAUUUGGAAAGUGACCUAUAAUUCAAAGUUUCCAAAUUUGGCAAGUUUUUGGUCCACUUUCAACUUGACUUGUCAAUAUGAAAUAAGUUUCAAAUGGAUUUUUGGUGGACAUGAAAGUUGUAGAUAUUUG
rnacentral:lncRNA from 1 species